rnacentral:rRNA from 1 species
GAUCCUGGCUCAGGAUGAACGCUGGCGGCGUGCCUAAUACAUGCAAGUCGAACGCUUCACUUCGGUGAAGAGUGGCGAACGGGUGAGUAAUACAUAAGUAACCUGGCAUCUACAGGGGGAUAACUGAUGGAAACGUCAGCUAAGACCGCAUAGGUGUAGAGAUCGCAUGAACUCUAUAUGAAAAGUGCUACGGGACUGGUAGAUGAUGGACUUAUGGCGCAUUAG